UUCGAUUCUCGAUGCGACUGUUUUAUGCCGAACUAGUUUCUUCAGAGCGUAAUAUGAUCUUGGUCACGAGGGGUGGCACGGUUCGACACGUGAUCGGUCUACACCAAUGAGGUAGCUGCUUUUUGUCAACAGAAUGGCAAGAUGGCGUCCUCGAGCAGUACGGAAGACGAAGAAAAUACACCGGAAUAUAUUAAUAAAUCAAAAAACAAACAUUGUUUUAUGCAUAUUACUUCAGUCAAGCACGAGGAGGUACAUUAUUUCACCACUACACGAUGGAAUACAUACAGGACAAGCCUACAAACGUGGCUCGGGUUGGACGGUGAGUCCCGGGACGUGGCUGAGAACUUCAAACACUGUGUUGAUGUGGAGUUUGACAAUAUUCCCGAGGAUGCUGGCUUCCAUCACACGUGCUACCGUAGAUUUACGGACAAAAAAUCCAUGGCAAAGGUGGAAAGACGUCUCGCACGUGAGAGACGAGAAGCGACGGAAGACCACGAGGCCAUUCCAUCGACUUCUAGCGGCACGAGUCCAACAAAGAAACUGCGAUCCAGGUCAGGGCUGCCAAUCGCAGGCUCUGGCCCCGUUCUUCCUGCCCUGUGCAUAAUUGGCCAAAAAAAAGGAGAAGUUUGUCAACAGAGCAGGCAAACGACAAAGGGAUCCUCUGUCAAAGGCCGAAACAUUAACAGCAGGCCAAUUGCAGAAAGCUGCCGAGUUGAAGGAGGACCAAAGUAUUCUUUUGCAUAUAAAAGACAAAGACUGUGUGGCUCUGGAGGUGCAGUACCACAAAGGCUGUUAUAAUCAGUACACCAGGUUUUUGACGAGGCCUGAAAAACCAGAGAAAGACCAGAAUGAGCCCACGUUUGAUGUCAGCUAUAAGAUAUUCUGUGAAAGGAUCAUUCGCCAAAGGCUGCUUGUCAACCAAGAGGUGCUGAGAAUGGGCUGAGGAAGGCCUUCAUUGAACUGGUGAAAGCAAAUGAAGGUCUUGAUGCUUCAAACUACAGGGAACUGCAAUGCAUUUUUCUCUCACGUCUUAUUAUUUGUCAUGUGCAAGUCCAGCUUUACACAACAUGUGUGUGACAGGCCUGAGAAACUGUUUUUAAUUCUUGCCGUUUGCACAAACAUGUACCAGUUGGCAACAAGGAGACGUGUGUGUGUGCGUGCGUGAUGUUGUGUGCCUUUCUUGGGCAUCUUUGGUGUUAAAUGUGCUGGAUGGCAGAUAGCUUCUAGCCUGUAAUGUCUUGUACCACCUGCACCACUCUCUGCUUUUCAUGAUACUCCUGUGACUCUUAAUUACCUUCGCAUUGAAAAUGUGGAAGGUUAUGUUUUGAUCGCCGUGUAUUUAUUUAUUUAUUUA